rnacentral:rRNA from 1 species
AACGAACGCUGGCGGCAGGCUUAACACAUGCAAGUCGAACGCAUCCUUCGGGGUGAGUGGCAGACGGGUGAGUAACGCGUGGGAACGUGCCCUUCAGUUCGGGAUAACCCAGGGAAACUUGGGCUAAUACCGGAUACGUGCGAGAGCAGAAAGAUUUAUCGCUGAAGGAUCGGCCCGCGUCUGAUUAGCUAGUUGGUGGGUAAUGGCCCACCAAGGCGACGAUCAGUAGCUGGUCUGAGAGGAUGAUCAGCCACAUUGGGACUGAGACACGGCCCAAAUUCCUACGGGAGGCAGCAGUAGGGAAUAUUGGACAAUGGGCGAAAGCCUGAUCCAGCCAUGCCGCAUGAGUGAUGAAAGCCUUAGGGUUGUAAGGCUCUUUCGUCCGAGACGAUAAGGACGGUACCGGAAGAAGAAGACCCGGCUAACUUCGUGCCAGCCGCCGCAGUAAAAC